CGUCAAGCGUUCUUAAAGGAAGGUCAUACGCCAGUUAAACUCUGCCGUUUUGCCUCUUAGCGUGCAUGCCUGAGCCCAUUUGCCCAACUCCUGAGAUCUUAUUGGGAAGCUGCUGAUCACCAGCUUCAGCUGUUUUCUAUCUAUUGGGAGCCGGCCUGUCCCUGGCACCAGCUGCAACCAAUUACUGUUUUAGAGAGACAGUUUAACAACAGCCUGGCCAUCACCUGAUGGUCGCCUGACAUUCCUGGGGCCAAGCGGGGGCUUCUCCUGCCCUGCUCAUGUCUGCUUAAGUACCUACUCUAAAAAUUCCAAGUUGCAGCAAAAGAAUCCCAGCAACAUAUUUCAUAUUGAGACAUUAGCGACAGCAGCACUGUGACCAAGUAAUGGGGCUGGAGGGGACCAAAAAAUAAGAGCCUCCCUUCUGCCCUAUUCUUCCCAGAAUAGAGAGAAUCGGGAAGACUGUGGACCACAUGUCUCCAGUUCCAUUUUCCUGAGCUUACACCUUUCAAUAAGCCCACUCCACCCUGGGGUAGAGGAAGAAGGCUGGGUAAGCUACCAGAUGACACUCCUCACCAACUACCCACCAACACAGAGGGAGAAAAAGCAAACUUUUUGGAGUGAAGAUGAGUGUCCAUUAUGUCAAGAACCUCAAGGGAAACCGGUUCUGCAACUCAGGGGUCCCAUCCCCCUGCCUGUAAGGAACCGGCUGCACAGCACAAGCUCAUUUCAGUAAGGCUGAUUAACAGAAGAGCCAGACCCUUGUUCUGGCACCAGCUGUGUGGCCGGAACCUCUGUGACUAGAGACACCCCAGCCGGAAUCAACAGGCCCGACCUGGACACGUGCAUCGCGGCAGCAAGGUCAAUUCACAAGCUCUUGUGCUUCAUUUGAGCCAGAAGACACCACUGAACAGAUCAUGGUUUCAGUACCUACACUGGCUGUUUUUCAUUCAAGGUGCAAGAGUGGUUCCAAAAGCUAUGCAAGGGAUUACUUUUUGCCAAACUAAUUAUCACAAUUAUUGAGAAAUAUGACAAAGACCUAAAAGUAUCAAACAUUGCCUACAUUUGAUAGGCUUUGAAUAAAAGAUAAGUUAAUUUCAACAGGCUGUGAUUAAAACUGUCCAUAAUAAUAAUAAUGAUAAAACAAUUGUCAUAUGUUGAGAUUAAUAAAUGUUACACAAAAUGUUUCAAAUGUAUUUUAUCUUCUACAGUCUAUAAGAUGGACACUAUAAUUUUCCCCAUUUUAUAUUUGAGGUUUAGGCCAUUGUUAAAGCUUUCCCAGAGUUAUAUAUCUGAUAUGGCAGAGCCAGGGCCUUCAGGAGAGACGCUGGAAUACCUUUGUUGAAAAUUAAGCUAGACUCUAGUAGUUCUCAGUUGAAUUAAUUGGGAACAAUUUACCAAGUAAUGAAUAAUUGGUACAAAACUGUAAGUAAUAAAAUGCUGAAUAGUGAAAAAGAGAUUCUGAAGUCCUAGAGAGAUCAGCAAAAAAGCAAAUCCAAAGCAGAAGGCUCGCAGUAGAAGGUGCAAUGUGAGCUGUGCUUUGAAACGGCUCUGAUGGUACAAAAAGAGGAACAAAGACAGAGACAGCAGGAUGGAAGGGAUUGGAAGGUUA
rnacentral:lncRNA from 10 species